rnacentral:misc_RNA from 1 species
GUGAAUCAUCGAAUCUUUGAACGCAAAUUGCGCUUUCUGGCAUCCCGGGAAGUAUGCCUGUUUGAGGGUCAGUAAUAAUAAAAACUCGGUUUGGUCACAAAUUGAGACGUUUCCGGAGUUUGGGGUAUCUUAACAUUUUUGGUUAAGAGGCUUAAAAUUGACCUUUUUUGCUCAUUUUUAAACGUGC